UUCCGAAUGGGGAAACCCAGUGUGAUUCGUCACACUAUCAUUAACUGAAUCCAUAGGUUAAUGAGGCGAACCGGGGGAACUGAAACAUCUAAGUACCCCGAGGAAAAGAAAUCAACCGAGAUUCCCCAAGUAGCGGCGAGCGAACGGGGAGCAGCCCAGAGCCUGAAUCAGUGUGUGUGUUAGUGGAAGCGUCUGGAAAGGCGCGCGAUACAGGGUGACAGCCCCGUACACAAAAAUGCACAUGCUGUGAGCUCG
rnacentral:rRNA from 1 species